rnacentral:rRNA from 1 species
UACGUAGGGGGCUAGCGUUGUCCGGAAUCAUUGGGCGUAAAGCGCGUGUAGGCGGUUCGGUAAGUCCGCUGUGAAAGUCGGGGGCUCAACCCUCGAAUGCCGGUGGAUACUGUCGGACUAGAGUACGGAAGAGGCGAGUGGAAUUCCUGGUGUAGCGGUGAAAUGCGCAGAUAUCAGGAGGAACACCAAUGCGAAGGCAGCUCGCUGGGACGUUACUGACGCUGAGACGCGAAAGCGUGGGGAGCAAACAGG